AGCAGCCGCGGUAAUUCCAGCUCCAAUAGCGUAUAUUAAAGUUGUUGCAGUUAAAAAGCUCGUAGUUGAAUUUCGGGGUUAGUAGGUUGGUCAUGCCUCUGGUAUGUACUGGUCUCACUGAUUCCUCCUUCCUGAUGAACCUUAAUGCCAUUUAUUUGGUGUUUUGGGGAAUUUGGACUGUUACUUUGAAAAAAUUAGAGUGUUUAAAGCAAGCUAACGCUUGAAUACAUUAGCAUGGAAUAAUGAAAUAGGACGUUCGAUCCUAUUUUGUUGGUUUCUAGGAUUGACGUAAUGAUUAAUAGGGAUAGUUGGGGGCAUUAGUAUUCAAUUGUCAGAGGUGAAAUUCUUGGAUUUAUUGAAGACUAACUACUGCGAAAGCAUUUGCCAAGGAUGUUUUCAUUAAUCAAGAACGAAAGUUAGGGGAUCGAAGACGAUCAGAUACCGUCGUAGUCUUAACCAUAAACUAUGCCGACUAGGGAUCGGAUGAUGUUAAUUUUUUUAAUGACUCA
rnacentral:rRNA from 1 species